rnacentral:rRNA from 1 species
UAGGGAAUCUUCGGCAAUGGACGAAAGUCUGACCGAGCAACGCCGCGUGAGUGAAGAAGGUUUUCGGAUCGUAAAACUCUGUUGGUAGAGAAGAAUGACAUUGAGAGUAACUGUUCAAUGUGUGACGGUAUCUUACCAGAAAGGGACGGCUAACUACGUGCCAG